GAUGAACGCUGGCGGCGUGCCUAAUACAUGCAAGUCGAGCGAACAGACGAGGAGCUUGCUCCUCUGACGUUAGCGGCGGACGGGUGAGUAACACGUGGAUAACCUACCUAUAAGACUGGGAUAACUUCGGGAAACCGGAGCUAAUACCGGAUAAUAUAUUGAACCGCAUGGUUCAAUAGUGAAAGACGGUUUUGCUGUCACUUAUAGAUGGAUCCGCGCCGCAUUAGCUAGUUGGUAAGGUAACGGCUUACCAAGGCAACGAUGCGUAGCCGACCUCAGAGGGUGAUCGGCCACACUGGAACUGAGACACGGUCCAGACUCCUACGGGAGGCAGCAGUAGGGAAUCUUCCGCAAUGGGCGAAAGCCUGACGGAGCAACGCCGCGUGAGUGAUGAAGGUCUUCGGAUCGUAAAACUCUGUUAUUAGGGAAGAACAAAUGUGUAAGUAACUAUGCACGUCUUGACGGUACCUAAUCAGAAAGCCACGGCUAACUACGUG
rnacentral:rRNA from 1 species